AGCAGCCGCCUCUCAGCCACGGGCUGCACACUGACCCGACGCGACCUUCGGUCAGGGGCCGCCAGCCUGGGCCACCUAUACAACGACAGCCUGCUCCGGGGCUUCCUGAGGAGGUGCCUGCCCCGCCGAGGUUCAACAGCUUUGGAGAGCAGGACAUCUUUUCCUCUCAGCCUGGCCCUCUGCAAUGGAGGCCAUAAAUAGGCCAGUAGUGGAAGCUACAGAACACGUGAGCAUGGCAGGGGCUGAGCUCCAUUUCAAGGCUUGUAAGGACCCUUGUGAUGACAUUGGUCCUACCCAGACUACCUAGGAUAAUCUCCCAUCUCAAAGUCCUCAUCUUAAUCCCAUCUGCAAGGUCCCUUUUGCAAUUUAAGAUAACAUAUUCAACAGGUUCCGGGAAUGAGAACAUGGAUGUCUUUGGAGAGCCAUUAUUCUGCCUACCACAGAUAUAACCUGGCUGUUACCACCAAGGGUUGGAAUGAGGAUCAUUCUGGGACUGCUGCAAGAGGCUGGAAACUGGAACCAAGUGCUACCUUCAUGGUAAGAAGCCAAUGCUGGAACAACACUGACUGAAGCAUCAAGCAAAACAGGAAGGAGCAACUCCUUCUACCCUCCUCCUGGCUUCGAGUCUCUCUCUAGCUCCCCUUGUUGGCGGGACCUAUCAGAAGGCCAGCUGGCUAAGGAGGACUAUAGUUUCAGUUUCAGUUCCAGCAUCCCAGACCUGAAUAUAGAAGGGCAGGUUGGAAGCCGAGAGACAGUAGCUUAGUAACUGACAAAGAUGCCACUAAAAAAUUCAGUUUAAACAAGUGACAGCCUGGGAUUAUAUUACAUUUAAUAAAAAGUUCAAAGCUCCAAUAUAUAAUGGCUUUUAUAAACCAGUAAGAAAAAGCAACCCAAUAAAAGUGGGCAGAUAAGAAUGAAAAAUUCACGGGUACUGUCCCGUCCUGUCCGGUCCCAUCCCGCCGCCGUGUCUGCCAGCCAUGAGCUCCACGCAGUUCAACAAGGGCCCCUCAUAUGGGCUGUGGGCUGAGGUCAAGAACCAGCUUCUGUCCAAAUAUGACCCCCAGAAGGAGGCAGAGCUCCACAGCUGGAUCAAGGGACUCACAGGACUCUUCAUCGGUCCCGACUUCCAGAAGGGCCUGAAGGACGGGAUUAUCUUAUGCGCACUCAUGAACAAGCUACAGCCAGGCUCAGUCCCCAAGAUCAAUCACUCCAUGCAGAACUGGCACCAGCUAGAAAACCUCUCCAACUUCAUCAAGGCCAUGGUCAGCUACGGAUGAACCCCAUGGACCUGUUCGAGGCCAACGACCUGUUUGAGAGUAGAAGUAUGACACAGCUGCAGGUGUCUCUUCUCGCCCUGGUGAGGAAGGCCAAGACUAAGGAGCUGCAGAGCAGGGUGGACACUGGCAUCAAGUACUUGGAGAAGCAGGAGUGGAACUGUGACAACCCCCCUUGAAGGCUGGCCAGUGCAUCCUCGGGCUGCAGAUGGGCACCAACAAAUGCGCCAGCCAGUCAGGGAUGACCGCAUACGGCAUGAGGAGGCAUUUCUACGACCCCAACAACUACAUCCUGCCCCCCAUGGACCACUCCAUCAUCAGUGUCCAGAUGCGUAUAAACAAGUGUGUCAGCCAGGUGGCCAUGACGGCUCCUGGGACGCAGCGGCACAUCUCUGACACCAAGCUGGGAACCGACAAGUGUGGUAACUCCUCCAUAUCCCUGCAGAUGGGUUAGACAUAGGACACCAACCAGAGUAGCCAGGUCUUGGCCUGGGCCAGCAGAUAUACGACCCCAAGUACUGCCCGCAAGGCACAGUGGGGGCUCCCUCAGGCGCCGGCGACUGCCUGGGCCCCGGGGAGGUCCCUGAAUAUCCCCCUUACUACCAGGAGGAAGCUGACUAUGAAGUCUGCCAGCAUGCUCUCUCCCCACAUCAUCUCCCCGUCUGGGUUUUUGGGUUUUUCUGUGUUUUCAUGUCUUUUUCCUCUUAACCUGUUCAGUGCUGCCAAUCAACCGAGGGUCUGUGAGUGGCAGCAUGGGAUCAGGCAGCAGGGCUUCUUUCCCCUUUGCCUUGGUCCUUCGCAGGACUGAGCCACCAGGCUGUGGGGGAAGGAGUCAAGGCCAUAUCCCGCUAAGUGUAGGGUGAGGGUCCCUGUUGGCAUGUCCAGGCUGUGGGCCAAGCUGUGCUGGGGAGAAGAGACCUGGGCUUGGAGGGAACUGGUCCCCGAAGGUUUCCAGUUGCCUCUCCUUUUCUCCCUUUUGUCAGCUGAUCAGUUUGUGGUUUCUGUACCUGCUAAAGCUUCAGGAAGUAUUAACAAAAGAAAAAUACAUUUUUUUUUUUUCCGAGGAAUGGGGCAGGGACAGUGGAGAGGGUGCUGGGAAAUAAGUCCCUUGGGAAAGGGGGCCUGGCCACGAUACUAAAUAUCUCAGGCUCCCAAGUGGCUGGAUUUCCCUAGGACCCUCAGACCAACAGACCUCAGACCCUCAGACCUGCCCCAGGGCUCGGUGGGGAAAGUGAGGCCUGUACAAGGAAGUGGAAUUCUGAGUUGUUAGGGCUAAGCCUGACCCCCUCUCUAUGCUAACUCCCCACACUGUGACCUCAGUAGGUUUUGUUGUUGUUGUUGCCCAGCCUGGAGUGCAGUGGCGUGCUCACAGCACCUCCACCUCCUGGGCUCAAGGGAUUCUCCUGCCUCAGCCUCCCAAGUAGCUGGGACUGCAGGUGCUCCACCACACCUGGCUAAAUUUUGUAUUUUUAGUAGAGACAGGGUUUCACCAUGUUGGCCAGGCUGGUCUCAAACUCCUGGCCUCAGGUGAUCUGCCUGCUGCAGCCUCCCCAAGUGCUGGGAAUACAGGCAUGAGCCACUGCGCCUGACCUCUCAGUAGGUUUUAAAGAGCCCCCAGCCCUCCUUCUCCCUUUCUUGGCCUGACCAGCUAUACUGCUCCAUCUCCCCUGGCCACAUGCCCCACCAAGUACUGCACAGGGACCCACACCCAGGGGCCCUGCUCCAUGAGAUAAUGUGAAAUACGACUGUGGACCAAAUGCAAUAAAACAUCUGUUUGUAAGAAGAGAAAAAAAAGAAAAAAGAAAAAUUCACAAUGGCCAAUAAACAUAUGAAAAUAUUCUUAAUCCCAUUAGUGAGCAGGGAAAUGCCUUAGGGCCUAGACGCAGGAGAAGGAGGUCAUUCUUUUUGUUUAGAAGAUAAUCCCGAUCCUUCAUUUUGGCACAGCUGAAACACAAAUUGGCACACCAAGAAUUAAUGGAUCAAUGAAGAGCAAGAGUUCUCCAGGUAGGAAAUAAGAAGACUGGAACAUGAGCAUACAAACCAUGCUAAAGGAAGAGCCUUCUUGGGCAAUGUCUAUAUAUGUGGAAUUAAAUCUUCAGAAGAACAGUCCAUGCAGUGUCUGCUCAUUGCAGAGCUCUCAGUUCAGAAACAAUAGCCACUUUCGAGAGCACUACUGGAGAGGUAGCUCAGCCCACUCUUGAGAACCCCAGGCCAGUCCCAUUUCCCACAAGCCAGCUGUAAUAAGGAGUAAAUCUGGGGUGUGGGGUAUUGAGUAGGGCACAGGGCCAGGAAAAACAAGUUAGAGAGUCUCUAGGCACCGGUGAGUCAUGUUGAUCAUAUGAUAGAUCAAUUCAAAUGAGGUAAUAAAUGACUAAAGUGCACUUCUAGGCUAGCACAUAGUUGUGGCAAGAGGAGUUUGUCUUCUUUUUUCUUAUUCCCAAACCAGCACGAUUUGUCUUCAGUGACCCUUACAGCAUUCUUUGUGCUGACAAUGAGUGGGUCAGCUUGGUCUUUUCUGGAGGAUAGACGAAGAGCUAAAAGUAUCCAAAAGAAACCAGAUAACAAAAACCUGAAGCCUGAAGACAUUUUUCUUGUGUGUCAAAGUCCUAAUUUUAGACCCAGUUGAAGGCUCAUUAUCCAACAUAUUACAGUAUGGAAUUGUACCUCUGCUGCAUCUAGAAGGAACUGUCCAUCACCAGAAAGAAAACAGCCUGCUCAGUCGAUCUUCAACAUUCAUGGAUUCCGGUGAUGGCAAAAGUGAUUCCUGACUUUCACAGUCAGUUGCUUUUUGAUCUCUCUUUCGAGUCACCCUCAGAGGAUACCUGGGUACCCAUUUCUCUUCCUGGUUACUCUCCUCUUUCUCCAUCCACUACCCACCCCACCCCUGCCCUGAGUCCUCGUUCCAGUCUUGACUGUAGUAACAGUCCUGGGCCUUCUCCUAAAUACAGCAUAAACCAGACCAACAAACCUUUCUCUUGAGGGUUCUGAUAGUCCCCAGCCAUCCUUCCAUGACUUAUGCUAAGCAGCUCUCUCUCUCUCUGGGUAAAAAGGGCAAGGAACAAAAGGAUUCUGUGAAACAGGAAAUCCUUUUCUUCCACAAAGUCAAACCAGAUAUUAGACUUUUGGGUUGGACAUAAGUUUAUUUGCAUGUUUGUCUGCUGCUAUGCUUUUAUGCUUCAGAAGCUAGGCUGAGAUUACAGGUUGAAUGUCCCUUAUCCAAAAUGCUGGGACCAGAAGUGUUUUGGAUUUUUUAUUUUUUCGGAUUUUGGAAUAUUUGCAUUAUCCUUAAUAGUUCAGCAUCCCUAAUCUGAAAAUCUGAAAUCCAAAAUGCUCCAGUGAACAUUUCCUUUGAGCAUGUCAGUUCUCAAAACGUUUCAGAUUCUGGAUUGGGGAUGCCGAACCUGCAAUAAAUUGCUCCUCCCUUCGUCUCCCCACGGGUUCUAUAUUGUAUUUAAGCUGCCCUCCCUCCCUUCCUGUAACUGUGAGUGCCAAAGCAACUCAGAUGUGCCUCCACUCUAAGCUAUAAAGAAAUAAUUAGCCACAGUUAAUGGCCCAUAAUUUGUUAUUUCUGUAUCCUGUUCCUCAGGGUUCCCUCCUAAAUUAUUAUCAGGAAGAAACAUAAAACUACACAUAAAACUGUAUUUCAUAGAAACAAAAAAAAUUGAGCUCCUUUUUUUGCUUUGUCUCCCUGUGAUUUGAAGAAGUUGGACUUCCUAGAUGGAAAUGAGGUUCACUGCCACGGAUGGGAAAGGCUGCCGCACGUUGGUUUGCCUCAUUAUGUUGCAGACAUACAUACAGGACCGACUAUAUAAUUUGUGGGAGGGACCUAGUGAAAAAUGAAAGUGUGGGGUCCUUUGUUUAAUGUUAGUAAUUUCAAGACUGCAACAGAGGAGCAUUAAACGGAAGGUGGGCCCUUCUGAGUGUGGGGUCGUGUGUAACUGCAGAGGCUGCACACCUAUGAAGCCAGCUCUGCACACAGAGAAUGGUCUCAGGACUAGAAAGACCAAGGGAACUCCACCCUGAGAAGGUCAGGAGAAAGCACGGGUGAGGUGGUGAAUGGUGUGGCCAAGGACAGUGUCGUCUAGGUGGUUCUCUGAAAUGCAAUCUGCUUGGCACUGGAUAUUGGAGGGCCCAAGGAUCAGAGGUACACGUAUACAUGAGGACGCUGGAAGGAAGCAGGGCGAAGGGUGUGAGAAUGCUGAGAUUGAAGGAGGGGUGGCACAGAGCGGGAGUUCUAGGCAUGGAAUCAUCUUGUUUUGUUUUCAAUCAACCCAUUUCUUUCUUUUUUUUUUUUUUAACUGAAGUAGAAUGUAUCAAAUUUAGAUGAAUGACCUUUUUCCCUCCAAAUCUGCUCUUCCCGUUUCUUCAUCUUGGUGAAUGUGAAUCAGUCCUCCUAGUUGAUCAAGGCCGAAGCUGCGAGUUGUCUCUGACUGAUCCCCCCCUAAGUCCAUAGAACAUCAAUUCUAUCAUUAGUACCUCUCUUGAGCCCACACAUCUACUUGUUCCAUAACCAGUGAAACCACCGUCAUUCCUGACCAUGACUGUGGUAGCAGCCUCCUUGCUUACAGCUUCUGAAUCAUCUAGACUGGAGUUUUAAGUCCUCAUUCUGCCACAAGUUAGCUGAGUGAGCUUGGGCUGGGCUCUUUAACCCCUCUGUGCCUCAGUUUCCACAUCUGUAAAAUGGGAAUAAUAAUACCUAUCAUAAAGCAUGGUUGUCAGGGCUAAAGGAAAUGAAGACGUGGCUGAGUGUCUUCCCUCUUGUUCCCUCUCCAUCCCUCAGGCCUUCAGUGAAACAUUCCUUCCCUUGUCUGACUUGCUCAGUGCAGGUUCCCACAGGCUGCCAACCUGCUCUGCAGCCCUCAUCACACUUCCCUGUCUUCUCUCAGCACUCCUCUCCAUAAGGACAAGGAUCCUGGUUUCCAUGGCCAAUGUCCAUCUGACACGGAGUAAGAGUUCACCUUGCUAUGUGACUGAUAUUCUCACAUAGAAUCAAACAUUCCCAGGCAUGACUCCCUGUAAGCUUUCCCCUAACUGUAAGUGAGCAGGUGACCAUGUGACAGAAACAAAUGACGAAGACCAAGACUAUCCCACCAGAUAUUAAAUUAAACCUGGGGCACUGGAAUGGCUCAUUAGAGCAGAUCCCUCUGUAAGAAACAGACCUAGGUCAGGUAAGGCCACCCAAGGAAGCCAGGAAACUGGGUGCUCCAGGUCAACACAGCCAAACUCCGCAGAGAACACAGUGGGGCUGGGGCUGGGAUGUGACAACCUGGGACAGGGAGACACCCCAGAGGAAGGAAUAAAGGUGGGACCUCUGAGUGGUGGGCCAUCCCUUUGUCCUCAGGCCCUGGAAGCUCCCCAUCCAAUGCUCCCCACUGAGGCCAACAGGGUAAGAGGUGUGCACACUAGGGGGCUUGUGCCCUGAGCCGGUCAAGGCAGAGUGGGGGGAUGGGGUGCUAGGGUUUUUUUUUUUUCUUCAUGAAAUAACAUAUAUGUAGGAAAGCACAGCAAACAUAUCUGUAGGGGUUGCUGAAUUAUAAACCCACUACUCCAAUCAAGACCUGGAGAUCCCUAGCACUCUAGAUCCUCCCCAACCUGUUCUCUACAUCCUCCUAGAGACCACCGGGACCUCGGCUUUUGUAGUUACCAUGUUCUCGCACCCCCAAAGAAUAGUUUUGUUUUGCCUGGUUUUGAACUUCUCAAAAAUGGAAUCAUACUGCAUAUAUUUUAUUCUUUUUUCCACUCAAUAUUCUGUGAGAUUUGUCCAUGUGGCUGUAUGUAACGACUUUGAUUCGUUGCCAUGUUAUGUUUGUGGCUAACUUUCACAAGUUCCUUAUUCCUUGCCCUGUGGUUGGACAGUUGUGCUGUUUCUGGCUUGUGCAUUUUCCACGACUUAGUGUGAGACUUCUUCUGGAUGGCUUGCAGGGGAGUGGGAGUCUGGGCUGGAAGGGAAGGUGAGGGAAGCAACAGAAGCAGCCCUGGGCAUGGGGGGCGCAGAAGGUGGGAGGGAUCUGUGGGUCAAGCAGGACUACUGAAGUGCAGAGCAGGGUUGAGGGUACCACAGAGGAAAGGGCCUCCACGUGUGCUCCUACUCUGAGACUGGACGGGAACACUCCCCGCAAGGCCAUAAUCGGGGGGUUUAGUAGGUAUGGGCACAGCAAGAGAGGCCAGACAAGGCAGCUUAUUGCACAAUGCUGCCCUUGGGGCUCAGAGGAAAUACUAGAAAUUGACCAGAGAGUCAACCUCUGGUGCCGCUCCUUUCCUAGGAUGGGCAUCCAUCAAGAGGUUUGUAUUUGGGAAGUUCAGGGAUCACUGGCUGCACAUCCAGACACUGGCCCACAUGGAGGUAAGGCGGCUGAAGCCCUGAAGGAAGGGGCUCUGCACUGCUGACCACUUGCCUAGACCUCGCCUGUGCUGGAAGCAAGGCCACCCAUGGAGCCCAUCUCUCGGAGACUUCAGCAGCCCAGGGCAGAGCUUCCUAUCCUUGCCAGAAAACCUGUCCCUGGCAUCACCCCAACCCCGGUAUUUCUUGUUGGGGACUGUCCUGGCUGGAGAUGGCCUAGAGUCCUUCCCACACCCUGAGAGACCUGACAUAUUUCCCUAUUCUCUUGGGUUUGGCAGAUAUGGGUAAGAGGAGGGAUGCUGUUGCCUUGGAGCUGCCAGGCUGCAUGGCAGACAAGCAGGAUUCCUGCUGCCUCCCAUGGAGACUAUACUGGAACGCAGGUAAGGUGCUGGGAAUCAGUCACAGAUGUUCAAGUGCAAGCUUUGGCAGAACCAUUCUUUCCACUGUAGAUCAGCCAGACUUUGUAAAACAUGAUCUAUUUCCUCACUGGAUCCUCAACAGUCCCAUGGGCAGACUGGACAAAUAUCCCCAUAGGUGAGAAAUUAAAGCAGAGUAGAGUGGUCAACCCCCUACCCUGUAAGUGACUGGGGGCUAGAAUACAGGUCUCACAACACUGGGUCAGGGCUUUGUCUGCUGUGCACAAGCAGGCACUUGCCUAGGCAGAUACUGAGCUCUAGCUUCAUCAUUUCAUGUUUGAUUUUCUAUAGUGUAAUCAAUCAUAGGAUCAUUAGCCCCCCUGGUGUCUGCUGCAAAUUUAUCUUAAAUGCCAAUUUGUCCCUGCAUUAGAAGGGAAGCUGUUUAGUUGAGGGAGCUCUUCCUGAGAAACGGUGAAUUUUAUGUUAUUUUUUAUUUUUUUGAGACAGAGUUUUACUCUUGUUGCCCAGGUUGGAGUGCAAUGGUGCAAUCUCUGCUCACUACAACCUCCGCUUCCCAGGUUCAAGCAAUUCUCCCGCCUCAGCCGCCCAAGUAGCUGGGACUACAGGUGCCUGCCACCAUGCCCGGCUAAUUUUUGUAUUUUUAGUAGGGAUGGGGUUUCACCAUGUUGGUCAGGCUGGUCUUGAACUCCUGACCCCAGGUGAUCCACCCACCUCAGCCUCCCAAAAUGCUGGGAUUAUAGGCAUGAGCCACCAUGCCCGGC
rnacentral:lncRNA from 1 species